GCACCUUAGAGACCAACUAAGUUUGUUCUUUGUAUGAGCUUUCGUGUGCAUGCACAUGUAUCUGAAGUGUGCAUGCACACAAAAACUCAUACCAAGAACAAACUUAGUUGGUCUCUAAGGUG